rnacentral:rRNA from 1 species
GAUGAACGCUGGCGGCGUGCCUAAUACAUGCAAGUCGAGCGAACAGAUGAGGAGCUUGCUCCUCUGACGUUAGCGGCGGACGGGUGAGUAACACGUGGAUAACCUACCUAUAAGACUGGGAUAACUUCGGGAAACCGGAGCUAAUACCAGAUAAUAUAUUGAACCGCAUGGUUCAAUAGUGAAAGACGGUUUUGCUGUCACUUAUAGAUGGAUCCGCGCCGCAUUAGCUAGUUGGUAAGGUAACGGCUUACCAAGGCAACGAUGCGUAGCCGACCUGAGAGGGUGAUCGGCCACACUGGAACUGAGACACGGUCCAGACUCCUACGGGAGGCAGCAGUAGGGAAUCUUCCGCAAUGGGCGAAAGCUUGACGGAGCAACGCCGCGUGAGUGAUGAAGGUCUUCGGAUCGUAAAACUCUGUUAUUAGGGAAGAACAAAUGUGUAAGUAACUAUGCACGUCUUGACGGUACCUAAUCAGAAAGCCACGGCUAACUACGUG